rnacentral:pre_miRNA from 1 species
UUUAAGUGUAUUUGUGGAUUUUCGUACCAAACGUUUGACCAUCCAUCUUAUUUUUUUAUUAGUAUUUUUAUUGUUAUUAAAUGAUAAAACAUAAAUAAUAAUUAUUAUCUAUACGUGACUUUUUUUAACUUUUUAUAUUUUUUAAAUAAAAUAGAAAAUCAAACGUUGGACAUAGAAACCCACGCCUAAAAUGCUA